CGAAUGCUGACAUAAGUAACGAUAAAGCGGGUGAAAAGCCCGCUCGCCGGAAGACCAAGGGUUCCUGUCCAACGUUAAUCGGGGCAGGGUGAGUCGACCCCUAAGGCGAGGCCGAAAGGCGUAGUCGAUGGGAAACAGGUUAAUAUUCCUGUACUUGGUGUUACUGCGAAGGGGGGACGGAGAAGGCUAUGUUGGCCGGGCGACGGUUGUCCCGGUUUAAGCGUGUAGGCUGGUUUUCCAGGCAAAUCCGGAAAAUCAAGGCUGAGGCGUGAUGACGAGGCACUACGGUGCUGAAGCAACAAAUGCCCUGCUUCCAGGAAAAGCCUCUAAGCAUCAGGUAACAUCAAAUCGUACCCCAAACCGACACAGGUGGUCAGGUAGAGAAUACCAAGGCGCUUGAGAGAACUCGGGUGAAGGAACUAGGCAAAAUGGUGCCGUAACUUCGGGAGAAGGCACGCUGAUAUGUAGGUGAAGCGACUUGCUCGUGGAGCUGAAAUCAGUCGAAGAUACCAGCUGGCUGCAACUGUUUAUUAAAAACACAGCACUGUGCAAACACGAAAGUGGACGUAUACGGUGUGACGCCUGCCCGGUGCCGGAAGGUUAAUUGAUGGGGUUAGCGCAAGCGAAGCUCUUGAUCGAAGCCCCGGUAAACGGCGGCCGUAACUAUAACGGUCCUAAGGUAGCGAAAUUCCUUGUCGGGUAAGUUCCGACCUGCACGAAUGGCGUAAUGAUGGCCAGGCUGUCUCCACCCGAGACUCAGUGAAAUUGAACUCGCUGUGAAGAUGCAGUGUACCCGCGGCAAGACGGAAAGACCCCGUGAACCUUUACUAUAGCUUGACACUGAACAUUGAGCCUUGAUGUGUAGGAUAGGUGGGAGGCUUUGAAGUGUGGACGCCAGUCUGCAUGGAGCCGACCUUGAAAUACCACCCUUUAAUGUUUGAUGUUCUAACGUUGACCCGUAAUCCGGGUUGCGGACAGUGUCUGGUGGGUAGUUUGACUGGGGCGGUCUCCUCCUAAAGAGUAACGGAGGAGCACGAAGGUUGGCUAAUCCUGGUCGGACAUCAGGAGGUUAGUGCAAUGGCAUAAGCCAGCUUGACUGCGAGCGUGACGGCGCGAGCAGGUGCGAAAGCAGGUCAUAGUGAUCCGGUGGUUCUGAAUGGAAGGGCCAUCGCUCAACGGAUAAAAGGUACUCCGGGGAUAACAGGCUGAUACCGCCCAAGAGUUCAUAUCGACGGCGGUGUUUGGCACCUCGAUGUCGGCUCAUCACAUCCUGGGGCUGAAGUAGGUCCCAAGGGUAUGGCUGUUCGCCAUUUAAAGUGGUACGCGAGCUGGGUUUAGAACGUCGUGAGACAGUUCGGUCCCUAUCUGCCGUGGGCGCUGGAGAACUGAGGGGGGCUGCUCCUAGUACGAGAGGACCGGAGUGGACGCAUCACUGGUGUUCGGGUUGUCAUGCCAAUGGCACUGCCCGGUAGCUAAAUGCGGAAGAGAUAAGUGCUGAAAGCAUCUAAGCACGAAACUUGCC
rnacentral:rRNA from 1 species